CAAGAGCCUGGAUGCCAAGCCUAUCCUCUCCAUGUGAAGCACCAACUUGGGGGUGUCAACUUAAAAUAUGAGACCCAUAAACUUGGAAAGGAGGACUUUAUUUCUUGAGGAGGGUUGCAAACUGCAGGCUCUGGAAAGUGACACCUCCAGCAGAGACCACAAACAGUGGACCUUCUCAAACUGGGGUAUUGACCUCUGAUGAACCCCCAUCCAAACCUGUGCCUUUCAUCAUAAAAAGAAGCACUUUGAGGUGCUCAACUUCAAGCUUGCUAGAGAAGGAGGAAAAGCAGGUUGAGUUUGACAUAAUUAGAAUGGAUUCAGCCUUUCCAGCAGAACAGAGUCUCACUCUUAUCACCCAGGCUGGAGUGCAGUGGCAUGAUCUCAGCUCACUGC